AUUGAACGCUGGCGGCAUGCCUUACACAUGCAAGUCGGACGGUAACAGGUCUUCGGAUGCUGACGAGUGGCGAACGGGUGAGUAAUACAUCGGAACGUGCCCGAGAGUGGGGGAUAACGAGGCGAAAGCUUUGCUAAUACCGCAUACGAUCUCAGGAUGAAAGCAGGGGACCGCAAGGCCUUGCGCUCACGGAGCGGCCGAUGGCAGAUUAGGUAGUUGGUGGGAUAAAAGCUUACCAAGCUGACGGUCUGUAGCUGGGCUGAGAGGACGACCAGCCACGCUGGGACUGAGACACGGCCCAGACUCCUACGGGAGGCAGCAGUGGGGAAUUUUGGACAAUGGGCGCAAGCCUGAUCCAGCCAUGCCGCGUGCAGGAUGAAGGCCUUCGGGUUGUAAACUGCUUUUGUACGGAACGAAAAGACUCCUUCUAAUAAAGGGGGUCCAUGACGGUACCGUAAGAAUAAGCACCGGCUAACUACGUGCCAGCCGCCGCAGUAAGAC
rnacentral:rRNA from 1 species